CUGAUUUCUACCUGGGAGAUCAUGCAUGAGCCGUGAUUUAGAAUCUGCUACUCUUCUGUUCUAUAAUUGACCUCGUUCUCUCAUCUCCCUCAGGCUUAAAUCCUUCUGGAGUCACUAAGGUUGUCAGUGUGGGGAGAAGCAGCAGCUGGUUUCAAGCUUCACACGUUCCUCCUAUGAGAGAAGUAGGACCUGUUUUAUGACAUGGGUGUACAUUAGAGUGGAGACAAGUAUGUUCACUAAAAGUCCAAAACAUGGUAGCAAUUCUAUCAGAAAAAAAGGAAAAGAGUCUUUCUAUAACACUGUCUUCAACCAAAUUAUGAGGUUAGUCUUUGCCUUUAAUACUAAUAUUCAAAGAGGGUUCC
rnacentral:lncRNA from 1 species